rnacentral:rRNA from 1 species
UGGGGAAUCUUGCGCAAUGGGCGAAAGCCUGACGCAGCCAUGCCGCGUGGAUGAUGAAGGUCUUAGGAUUGUAAAAUCCUUUCACCGGUGAAGAUAAUGACUGUAGCCGGAGAAGAAGCCCCGGCUAACUUCGUGCCAGCAGCCGCGGUAAUACGAAGGGGGCUAGCGUUGCUCGGAAUUACUGGGCGUAAAGGGAGCGUAGGCGGACAUUUAAGUCAGGGGUGAAAUCCCGGAGGCUCAACCUCGGAACUGCCUUUGAUACUGGGUGUCUUGAGUGUGAGAGAGGUGAGUGGAACUCCGAGUGUAGAGGUGAAAUUCGUAGAUAUUCGGAAGAACACCAGUGGCGAAGGCGACUCACUGGCUCAUUACUGACGCUGAGGCUCGAAAGCGUGGGGAGCAAACAGGAUUAGAUACCCUGGUAGUCCACGCCGUAAACGAUGAUUGCUAGUUGUCGGGGAGCUUGCUCUUCGGUGACGCAGCUAACGCAUUAAGCAAUCCGCCUGGGGGAGUACGGUCGCAAGAUUAAAACUCAAAUGAAUUGACGGGGUCAUAGCUGUUCCU